AGCACUGAAUAUCCUUGACCACGAGGAAAACGGAUCAGAGACUGAAACAUGAGUUUCUUGUCUUAAAAAGUUGCAGCUGCCUGUUAAACUGAUUGUGGCUGUGCACAGGAUCUUGUGUGUUUUCACCACUUACUUUGUGGUUCCAGAGUAGAGCACUGAAUAUCCUUGACCACGAGGAAAACGGAUCAGAGACUGAAACAUGAGUUUCUUGUCUUAAAAAGUUGCAGCUGCCUGUUAAACUGAUUGUGGCUGUGCACAGGAUCUUGUGUGUUUUCACCACUUACUUUGUGGUUCCAGAGUAGAGCACUGAAUAUCCUUGACCACAAGGAAAACGGAUCAGAGACUGGAACAUGAGUUUCUUGUCUUAAAAUGUUGCAGCUGCCUGUUAAACUGAUUGUGACUGUGCACAGGAUCUUGUGUGUUUUCACCACUUACUUUGUGGUUCCAGAGUAGAGGUAAGUAACUUAGGUAAAGGGCCUCAGAUCUUUUAAGACUGGAGUUAAGCAUUUUCUGCUUAACUGUUGGAUCUGAGGACUGCAUACUGCUGAUUCAUUGCGAUAAAAGCAUGCAAGAAUAUUUCUUUCAUGAGCAAGAGAACCUAGACAAAAAGUUCUGAAAACUGCCAUGUAAAACCCAUGACACAUGAGGGGAUAGCACUCGA
rnacentral:lncRNA from 1 species